UACGUAGGUGGCAAGCGUUGUCCGGAUUUACUGGGCGUAAAGGGCGUGCAGGCGGUCUGUUAAGUCUAGGGUGAAAGCUCCCGGCUCAACUGGGAGAGGUCCUUGGAUACUGGCGGACUUGAGGGAUGCAGAGGAAAGUGGAAUUCCCGGUGUAGUGGUGAUAUGCGUAGAUAUCGGGAGGAACACCAGUGGCGAAGGCGGCUUUCUGGGCAUUUCCUGACGCUGAGACGCGAAAGCGUGGGGAGCGAACCGGAUUAGAUACCCGGGUAGUCCACGCCGUAAACGAUGGACACUAGGUGUAGGGGGUAUCGACCCCCUCUGUGCCGCAGCUAACGCAAUAAGUGUCCCGCCUGGGGAGUACGGCCGCAAGGCUAAA
rnacentral:rRNA from 1 species